GAUUCUCUUUUAUAUAGUUUAAGUAAAACAUUACAUUUUCACUGUAAAAUUAAAUAAUAUUAUUUUUUAA
rnacentral:tRNA from 1 species